UACGUAGGUGGCGAGCGUUGUCCGGAUUUACUGGGCGUAAAGGGCUUGUAGGCGGUCCGCUAAGUCUGGUGUGAAAUCUCCCGGCUCAACUGGGAGGGGUCAUCGGAUACUGGCGGACUUGAGGGGGGUAGAGGAAAGCAGAAUUCCUGGUGUAGCGGUGAAAUGCGUAGAUAUCAGGAGGAAUACCAGUGGCGAAGGCGGCUUUCUGGGCCUACCCUGACGCUGAGGAGCGAAAGCGUGGGGAGCAAACCGGAUUAGAAACCCCAGUAGUCC
rnacentral:rRNA from 1 species